UACGGAGGGUGCGAGCGUUGUCCGGAAUCAUUGGGCGUAAAGGGCGCGUAGGUGGCCCGGUCAGUCAGUGGUGAAAGCGCGGGGCUCAACUCCGCGUCGGCCAUUGAUACUGCUGGGCCGGAGCACUGUAGAGGCAGGCGGAAUUCCGGGUGUAGCGGUGGAAUGCGUAGAGAUCCGGAAGAACACCGGUGGCGAAGGCGGCCUGCUGGGCAGUUGCUGACACUGAGGCGCGACAGCGUGGGGAGCAAACAGG
rnacentral:rRNA from 1 species